rnacentral:tRNA from 1 species
GUGGUUGUAGCUCAAUGGUUAGAGCGCUGGUUUGUGGCACCAGAGGUUGCGGGUUCGAGUCCCGUCUUCCACCC